rnacentral:misc_RNA from 1 species
ACACCCAAUCGGUAGGAGCGA